AUACGUAGGGUGCAAGCGUUAAUCGGAAUUACUGGGCGUAAAGCGUGCGCAGGCGGUUUUGUAAGACAGGGGUGAAAUCCCCGGGCUCAACCUGGGAACUGCCAUUGUGACUGCAAGGCUGGAGUGCGGCAGAGGGGGAUGGAAUUCCGCGUGGAGCAGUGAAAUGCGUAGAUAUGCGGAGGAACACCGAUGGCGAAGGCAAUCCCCUGGUCGUGCACUGACGCUCAUGCACGAAAGCGGGGGGAGCAAACAGGAUUAGAUACCCUGGUAGUCCACGCCGUAAACGAUGUCAACUGGUUGUUGGGGAUUUAUUUUCUCAGUGACGAAGCUAACGCGUGAAGUGUACCGCCUGGGGAGUACGGCCGCAAGGUUAAAACUCAAAUGAAUUGACGGGG
rnacentral:rRNA from 1 species